rnacentral:rRNA from 1 species
CACCUACGGGGCGCAGCAGUGAGGAAUAUUGGUCAAUGGGCGAGAGCCUGAACCAGCCAAGUCGCGUGAAGGAUGACGGCCCUACGGGUUGUAAACUUCUUUUGUCAGGGAGCAAUUGAGUCCACGUGUGGUCUUAGCGAGAGUACCUGAAGAAAAAGCAUCGGCUAACUCCGUGCCAGCAGCCGCGGUAAUACGGAGGAUGCGAGCGUUAUCCGGAUUUAUUGGGUUUAAAGGGUGCGUAGGCGGAUUUUUAAGUCAGCGGUAAAAUGUCCGGGCUCAACCCGGGCCGGCCGUUGAAACUGGGG